rnacentral:rRNA from 1 species
GAUGAACGCUGGCGGCGUGCCUAAUACAUGCAAGUCGAGCGAACGGACGAGAAGCUUGCUUUUCUGAUGUUAGCGGCGGACGGGUGAGUAACACGUGGAUAACCUACCUAUAAGACUGGGAUAACUUCGGGAAACCGGAGCUAAUACCGUAUAAUAUUUUGAACCGCAUGGUUCAAAAGUGAAAGACGGUCUUGCUGUCACUUAUAGAUGGAUCCGCGCUGCAUUAGCUAGUUGGUAAGGUAACGGCUUACCAAGGCAACGAGGCAUAGCCGACCUGAGAGGGUGAUCGGCCACACGGGAGCUGAGACACGGUCCAGACUCCUACGGGAGGCAGCAGUAGGGAAUCUUACGCAAUGGGCGAAAGCCUGACGGAGCAACGCCGCGUGAGUGAUGAAGGUCUUCGGAUCGUAAAACUCUGUUAUGAGGGAAGAACAUAUGUGUAAGUAACUGUGCACAUCUUGACGGUACCUAAUCAGAAAGCCACGGCUAACUACGUG